AAGGAGGCGGCGGCGGCGCGCGUGAAGCAGCGCCAAGGACACAAUCAGGAACGGCAAGCCGGCGACCAGGACGGACAUCAGCUCCCUCUUUGGUGACUUUCUCCUCAGCUGGCUGCAGGGUCACCCACUAGAACGGAGCCUGGGAAAAUGAUGGCCACCCUUCUCCCAACCUUAUCAUCGCCGGUUUCAUGGGCCACUGCAUUCCUCCUCAGAACCCCACUAAAAUCCUCCCGCUCUCACCAUCCUCUUCUCCGCAGCCUCCUUGCUUCUGCUUCUCCCCUAUCAUCCCCUCGUACUCCCCGCUCCCUCAUCACCAUGGCCUCCGCAGCUAUCCCCGCCCGCCGGGACCUCCUCAUGCUCGGCAUCGAGACCAGUUGCGACGACACUGCCGCCGCCGUGGUCAGAGGCGAUGGGGAGAUCCUUAGCCAAGUGAUUGCUUCCCAAUCAGAUUUGCUUGUAAAAUGGGGCGGUGUUGCUCCUAAGAUGGCCGAAGAAGCUCAUGCUCUUGCAAUUGAUCAGGUUGUUCAGAAAGCACUUGAUGAGGCAAAUGUUUCAGAGAGUGAUCUUUCUGCUGUGGCCGUGACCAUUGGACCAGGACUUAGUCUAUGCCUUAGAGUUGGUGUUCACAAAGCUCGGAAAAUAGCAAAAGUAUUUCACUUGCCUAUUGUUGGAGUUCACCAUAUGGAGGCACAUGCAUUAGUUUCCAGGCUAGUGAACAAGGACGUUGAUUACCCGUUUUUGGCUCUUCUAAUUUCAGGCGGACACAAUCUUCUUGUUCUUGCUCAGAACCUUGGUGAGUAUGUUCAACUGGGGACUACAAUAGAUGAUGCAAUUGGCGAGGCAUAUGACAAGUCAGCAAGAUGGCUGGGUCUUGAUAUACGGAAAGGUGGUGGUCCUGCUCUUGAAGAGCUUGCCCUAGAAGGUGAUCCAAAUUCUAUUAAUUUCAGAGUUCCGAUGCGACAACACAAAGAUUGCAAUUUCUCUUAUGCUGGUCUCAAGACUCAAGUUCGAUUGGCCAUUGAAUCCAGAAAUCUGUGCACAGAUGAUAUCCCCAUUUCAUCUGCAACAGAAGAAGACAGACAACUAAGGGCAAACAUUGCUGCCUCUUUCCAGCGGAUAGCUGUUCUACAUUUGGAGGAUAGAUGCCAGCGAGCAGUUGAAUGGGCAUUGAAGAUGGAGCCUUCUAUUAAACACUUUGUUGUUUCAGGUGGUGUUGCAUCGAACCAAUAUGUUAGGGCACGCUUGAAUCAUAUUGCUGAGAAGAAUGGCCUACAGCUUGUAUCCCCUCCCCCAAGUCUUUGUACUGACAAUGGUGUCAUGAUUGCUUGGACUGGAAUCGAGCACUUUGUUGCCGGUAGAUUUGAAGAUCCACCUCCAGCUGAUGAGCCUGACGAUAUGCAGUAUGAGUUGCGUCCAAGAUGGCCUCUUGGCGAAGAAUACUCAGAAGGAAGAAGUGUUUCACGAUCAUUGAGAACAGCUAGGAUCCAUCCAUCACUUACAUCCAUGAUGAAGAGCUCUCGCAGCUAGUUCGGUCGGACCAUCGAUCUUGGCUGCGUGCUGCCAUUGAGUUCCACAUAAUCCAGUUUUGGGACCAUUACCUGGACGGGAUGAAUCCACGUCUUCACUCUUUUACUGUUGCAUGUUUAACAGUUGUUGAUUCCAGUGUUCCCGAUGCUGUUAUCUAGCUAACGUGCAAGUGACUAUAAGCCAAUCCUGCGUGAAUUGGGUCCUCUUUACUGUUUUCUUAUUGCAAAUCCUUAGAACACUACUAUUACAUAUACAUCAUAUAUAUGAAGAUGCUUGCCAUCGAGCGAUUUUUUUAAUUCACGUAU
rnacentral:rRNA from 1 species